UACGUAGGGGGCGAGCGUUGUCCGGAAUGAUUGGGCGUAAAGGGCGCGUAGGCGGCUGAUUAAGUCUGGAGUGGAAGUCCUAUUUUCAAGGUAGGAAUUGCUUUGGAAACUGAUCAGCUUGAGUGCAGGAGAGGUUAUCGGAAUUCCCGGUGUAGCGGUGAAAUGCGUAGAGAUCGGGAGGAACACCAGUGGCGAAGGCGGGUAACUGGACUGCAACUGACGCUGAGGCGCGAAAGUGUGGGGAGCAAACAGG
rnacentral:rRNA from 1 species